CUUCGGGGUGAGCGGCGGACGGGUGAGUAACGCGUGGGAACGUGCCCUCUUCUACGGAAUAGCCCAGGGAAACUUGGAUUAAUGCCGUAUACGCCCGAAGGGGAAAGAUUUAUCGGAGGAGGAUCGGCCCGCGUUGGAUUAGGUAGUUGGUGAGGUAACGGCUCACCAAGCCGACGAUCCAUAGCUGGUUGAGAGGAUGAUCAGCCACACUGGGACUGAGACACGGCCCAGACUCCUACGGGAGGCAGCAGUGGGGAAUCUUGGACAAUGGGGGAAACCCUGAUCCAGCCAUGCCGCGUGAUCGAUGAAGGCCUUAGGGUUGUAAAGAUCUUUCAGCUGGGAAGAUAAUGACGGUACCAGCAGAAGAAGCCCCGGCUAACUCCGUGCCAGCAGCC
rnacentral:rRNA from 1 species